rnacentral:rRNA from 1 species
AUGAACGCUGGCGGCGUGCCUAAUACAUGCAAGUCGAGCGAACAGACGAGGAGCUUGCUCCUCUGACGUUAGCGGCGGACGGGUGAGUAACACGUGGAUAACCUACCUAUAAGACUGGGAUAACUUCGGGAAACCGGAGCUAAUACCGGAUAAUAUAUUGAACCACAUGGUUCAAUAGUGAAAGACGGUUUUGCUGUCACUUAUAGAUGGAUCCGCGCCGCAUUAGCUAGUUGGUAAGGUAACGGCUUACCAAGGCAACGAUGCGUAGCCGACCUGAGAGGGUGAUCGGCCACACUGGAACUGAGACACGGUCCAGACUCCUACGGGAGGCAGCAGUAGGGAAUCUUCCGCAAUGGGCGAAAGCCUGACGGAGCAACGCCGCGUGAGUGAUGAAGGUCUUCGGAUCGUAAAACUCUGUUAUUAGGGAAGAACAAAUGUGUAAGUAACUAUGCACGUCUUGACGGUACCUAAUCAGAAAGCCACGGCUAACUACGUG